rnacentral:rRNA from 1 species
UACGAAGGGGGCUAGCGUUGCUCGGAAUCACUGGGCGUAAAGCGCACGUAGGCGGCUUUCUAAGUCAGGGGUGAAAUCCCGGAGCUCAACUCCAGAACUGCCUUUGAUACUGGAGAGCUUGAGUCCGGGAGAGGUGAGUGGAACUCCGAGUGUAGAGGUGAAAUUCGUAGAUAUUCGGAAGAACACCAGUGGCGAAGGCGGCUCACUGGCCCGGUACUGACGCUGAGGUGCGAAAGCGUGGGGAGCAAACAGG